AGACGACACAGUUGGUGAAGGACAAGAGAAGCUCACUUAAAUCAACGGUCCCUGAUUGAUCAGCGGCUUUGUAGAUCUUGUCCAUCAUACGUUGGCACUCUUCUUCUCUAACGGGUCGGAAACUUGCGACGCGAUUUGGGCUGAAUAGGUUAACCAUACACAUCUUCCUCAUCUCACGAUAGUACGCUGUGUACUGUCCGAAACCAAGCUCACGACCUUGAUAUGACAUCGUUUGUUGCCCCUUCAGGAGAGGACGAGCGGUGAAAUUGAGGUCCUGGGUCUUGAGGAGUUCCUUGGCUAACUCAGCCGAUGAGAUCACUGCAAGGCGGCGUCCACCGAUUUUCAUUGUGAAAAUUGGACCGUAGAGCUUGGAGAGACGAAAGAGGAAGUGUUGGG
rnacentral:lncRNA from 1 species